rnacentral:ncRNA from 2 species
AUUAUACUGCCGCGUUAAGGCGCGGCGCGGCCACCAUAAAGGCCGGGGAAUCGGAUGAAAGCUCCGAACUAUCCCAGUAACCGUGAUGCGGAUGAAGAAGCACUUAUGUCACUGCCUAUAAAAGCGGGCGGGAAGGCGCUUUGUUAGGAUGAAGCUAAGUCGGGAAACCUGUUUUUGCACGGAAAACUUC